UUUCACCCUCAAGCUAUGUCUUUCUCACUUCCCUGGAUUUGGGUGCAAGAGAAGGAGAAGCAACACCAGCCAACAAUCCAAGGUGCUGAUUCCCCUUCCCGUCUCACCUUUCUACCCUCACCCCCCCUCCAUGCUCCAGUGUGACUAAGGCAAAGCUGAAAUCCAGUGAGAGCUGAUAGACAGGAGAGUAGUUUCUCCUGGACUCACAAAUGGGACAAACCUGGAAGGGCUUCAUUUGUGGAUGGUUCCACUUACUGGCACCUCACGUCGCCAGGACGCAGGGAAGGCUGGAUUUUAAAAGGCGCUCAGCAUCUCCUCCUCUUUUUGUUUACAGAAGAAAAGUCCAGUUGCUGGCAACCACACAGAUCCUGUGAAAAAGAACUCCACCCUGCUGUGCUGGGCACAAACCCACGUAGAAAGAGGGUCAAAGCAAGCUGUCAAUCAGGCGACGAGCACUUAUUGAGAAUAUAUUAUUACAGAUAGGAGACUGUCACCGGAUAAAUAUCAGUAUAAGAUAGAGUCCAGCCUUCAAGGAGUUUAUAAUCUCCAUGAGUAAAUGAGAUUUAAACAUGAGAAAUCUUUGCAAAAAAAAAAAAAAAAGAAGAAGCCACAAGGGUGUAUACAACUCAAGUAAUAAUACAGCAAUAAAUACAUCCUAUAGGAUUUUGGAGACAGGUAAGAUAACAGUCCCCAGAGAUGCCCGGGAUAGAAAUAAAUCAUAGAUUUCAAGCAGCUCAGGAUCUGAGGGAGUUUGGAAGCAGCACAAUGAUUAUUUCUCAUGUAAGAAUUUGCUCCAACACUUUGUUGCUGACUCUCCUUAAUUCAUUUAAAAUACUCUCUAACAGAAGAAAAAAUGAGAGGUGAGAUCAUUGUCUCAGAGGAUGGGGCGAUAGAGAUAAACAUGAAAAAGUAUCUUUUUUUAAUUUUGUCUGCUUUGAUUUAUUCCAUCCCUGUCAAAAUGUUUGGUGCUGAAUUCACCCACUGUCCUGAGAAGGAUGAGGUGGGGUGUUUCAGAGAUCUCUGCACACACCGAAUAAUUAUGCUGUUUUUCUUUGUAUACCGUUCCAAUACUACAGUCAUGGUCGUUCUGACAAGUCAGCACAGAUUCAUAAAAACAGAGUUAAUGAAGAAGCGAAGACUAAAUUCACUUGUCAUUUUUUUUUUAAGUUCCUUUGUAAUGGGCAGCCAUCUUAACCCAAACUCCCUCUUACAGUUCUAUACUUGUUCCUUCCAUUGAUUCAAUGUGCUCAGACGAUUUAUCUACCACAUGUUUUUCACAAUUCAGUGCUGACAGGGGCUUCUCUUCCAGCCCUGUGGCAGAUGGAAACCUACAGCUCCUAGCUGCCUACCACCGUGGGUCACCAAGGUCAUCGUGGUGACUGUCAGCAAGUGGAAGACCUGAUCUUCCACAGGAAAACAAGGAGAUAACCGGGUCUCCAAUCACAGUAUCAGCUGAUGUGGCAUGUGUUCCAAUUGUCCCUUUGGUCCAGCAUCUCUAUCUACAUAAUAUCAGCAUUACUUGAUUAACUACAACUGCCAUGAAGAAAUUUCUUUUUUUUUUUUUUCAGUGCUAAGUAUUGAACUUGGGACCUCACACAUGCUAGGCAAAUACUCUCCCACUGAGCUAUAUCCCUAGCCCCUCAAAAAUGCCUUUUAAUCUAACUUUAGUAAUAUGUUAGUAAUAGUGAAGCUGAUAAAUAUGGGUGGGUGAUAGAAGUGUUCUGUAUCUUGAUUACGGUACAUUGUCAAAGUGCACAGAUCUGCACACCUAAAAAGUGAUUGAACUAUUAAUGUACCUCAACACACCUGACCUUAACAAGUGGUAGAUGAAGCACGAAGAACCAAGGUGCUGGAAUUUGCAUCUUGUUCACAUCCCUUACGUAUUAUUGACCCUACACAAUUAUUUUCCCUCUUCUCCCUCAUGAUCUCUAAAAUGGUGCAGGCAACAGUGCCUACUUAUGGCAUUAUUAGGAAAGAGAAUCAGUACGGAGCCUCUAGCAUAGAAGAAGAGCUCUAUAGAUCUUUUUCUUCCAGUGCCACAAUAGAACAGUGUACAACGUGUAAUGGAAAACAGGCAAAUGGCCAGAAAAACCAAAUCAUAAACGAAAGAAUACAAAUACCCAUCAGUCACAGAAGGAUAACUUGGGCUUAACCGCUACUCAGAAAAACAAAUACUAAAUGUUAAAAACGCUUUGUUUUGCAAAAUAAAUUUUUUCUUUCUUUUA